AGCGGACCUCCCCCGCGGCGCGCUCCCGUGGCCUCGGCGCGCGCAGCCCCUCGGAAGGCGGCCGGGCUCGGUGUGCGGAGGGUGUGGGGCCUUGGGUCCCAAGAUCGCGCGCUUCCUGCGCUGGGGAAGCUGCGCGGGGCCGCGCCUGCUCCGCACAGCCGGCGCUGGGACGCGAGCGCUCUGGCGGGUUCGCAGAGACCCUACUCACAUGUGCAUGACCUAACUUUAAGAGAGGAUGGGAAAUAUAGUCUUCCUAUGUGAACAAAAACUAUAGAUGAAAUGAGGUUCAUUAAGCAUUUGGCAUCACUUCCACCACAAACACCAGCCUCCAGGGCAGAGUAACAGAGAGAGAGAGAGAGAUGUCUUCCAUUUGCUGGUUCACUCCCCCAAAGACCCACAAUGGCUGGGACUAGGCCAGGCUUAAGCCAGAAGCCAAGAACUCCAUCUGGGUCUCCCAGCGGAGUGCCUGCUGCCUCCAAGGAUGCACAUCUUCAAGAAGCUGGAUCAGAAGCAAAGAGAGCAUCUAAUGGGACAAUUGUAGGAUGGAUGGAUCCAGGUUCUUAUACCCAAUACAAGAAAGAAUUCAAGGAUGAGAAUUGGUAAAGUUACUCCACAUCUGAUCCAGCGUCCUACUGAUGUGCACCCUGGGAGGCCAGCAGAUGAUGACUCAAGUAUUGGGGCUCUGCCAUCCAUAUGGGAGGUCUGGCUUUGGCCUGGUCAUCCCUGGCUGCUGCAGGCAUUUGGGGAGUGAAUCAGUGGAUGAUGUCGUCUCCUCGGACUGGCCAAGUUUUACCUGCUGAAGUUUCCUGUGCAACCAAGGGGUGAGCAGUUGGCAAUGUCCAGCCAGCCAGCUGCUGUGAAGUGAUACUCCUGAAGGAAAUCCUGGAUGGGUCCUGCAAGGGAGUCACAAGCUGCAGUGAGGAUUAACCCAGGCUGUUUAUCAGCAGCCUCAGCUGCUCAUCCACUCUCUGCUGGGCAGCUGAGCAAGGACUCCAGGACUGCCACUCCCCACUGCCCAGAAUGGCCAGAGGAACAGGGGGGAUUCCCAAUCAGUACAUGCCCUCUUUCCCAGAAAAGGGAUUAAGUGUGCCCUGACAAGGUUGACUCUUCCAUAAUUUUUUUCUUAGGAAGUGAGGUAGGUGAGAAAAUAAACCUGAACAUUCAUUCCCAUUCCCUUGAAAAAAAUCCUUUCAAACUGCUGUUUCAUUCGACCAUCAAACGUAGUAUCCAAGCAAUCUACUGGCAUCAAAUGUGCCCAUGUUCUUGGUAAAAUGAGGAUAAUAAUGCCAACUCAGAGGGUUAAGUGAACAUGAAAUCACAUGUGAAAGCACUUACCAAAUUGUCUGGCGUGUGGUAAGAACACAACACAAACUAGCUUUCCCUUUUUCCUGAUUAUUAUGUACAGUGAUUUUUGCAUAGUGUGAGGAAAACAAGUUCAUAAGUCUCUAUAAGAAUUACAUUGUAGGUGGUCAAAACCUGACUGCACUAAAGUAGGAAGAAAAGAAAAAUCCCUGCAUUUAUUGGUUCAUGGAUCUAAUAGGCAUGGCUUAAUCUACAGGUCCAAAUGAAAUUUUCAGAGCCAUCUUUCUCUUUAUCUCUUGGUUGGCUUUGUUUGACUCUGAUUAUUUUCACUUGACCUUGAUUCUCUCUUGCCACAGAUAGGAUCUCACCAAGUUGGAAGGAAGAUGACCGUGGGAAUCAUGGUUCAAAUGGGAAAGGCACACACUUUCUUCCAGUGUCCAGUAUUAAAUGUCAUGGCAGAAUUUUAGCCUCUCAUGGAUUAUAUGCCCAUCCUUUGGACAGAUUGUCAAUGAACCAUGACCUAGGCCAAAUCCAGCCAACCUCCUAGUUUUGGACAGCACAGGAGCUGAAAAUGGUUUGUCAUUAAAAAAAAGUUUAUUUGUUUAUUUCAAAGGCAGGUAGACGGACACACACACACACACACACACACACACAUAGAUGAAGAGAAAGAGAGAUUUCAUCUGUUGCUUCACUCCCCAAAUGCCCACAACAGCCAUGAUUGAGCCAGAUCAAUGCCAGGAGCCAGGAAUACACUGUGAGUUUCUUAUGUGAGUGGUAGGGUCCCAGAUACUUGCACCAUCAUCUGCUGCCUUCCAGGAUCUGCAGUAGCAGGAAACUAGAAUGAGGAGUGGACCCAGGCACUUAAAACUAGGACUUGAAACCAGGCACUUGAAAUUAGGAGCAGAGCUGGGACUUGAACCCAGCAUUUUAACAGCUAUGACAAAUGUCUGCCCCAGGUUUUGUCAUUUUUAAAAAUCAAAAUGAUUUGGUGUAUUUUAUAAUCCCUAAAAUUAUAUUAAAUUCAAAUUUCAAUAUCUAUAAAUUUCAGUUUUAUUCAAACACAACUAUACUCAUUUGUUUAUGUAUGACUGCUUCUCUAUUAAAAUAGCAGCCUUAAGUAGUGGUAAUAGAGACUGCAUAGCCCCCAAAGCCUAAAACAAUUGCUAUCCACUCUUUAUAGAAAAAUUUUGCCAACCUUGGCCCAAUCCAGUCAUGGUAAACAAGAAGACAGGACACUCUGGCCAGAUCUGACACAUGUGCCUAUCCCUGUAACUGGGAGAGCGGUAGGAGAAAAAGAAUAUUUUAUAUGUGUUGAGCACUUACUAUGUAGUGUGCAGUACUGUAAGCAUUUCAUUUGUAUUAUUUGAUAGAGUUAGAGAGGGAGAGACAGAGAAUGAGAGUGUGAGUGACAGUGAAAGAGAGAGAGAUCUUCCAACCAUUGGUUCAUUCCCCAAGUGGCCAAAACUGCCAGUGCUGAGCCAGGCCAAAGCCAGGCGCCAAGAGCUUCUUCCAGGUCUCCCAUGGAUGCAGGAACCCAAGCAUUUGGGUCAUCUUCUGCUACUUUCCCACACUUAUUAGCCAGGAACUGGAUCAGAAGUGGAGCAGCCAGGACACCAACUGUCACCUAUAUGGGUUGCCGGCACCACAGGCAGCUUAGCCUACUAUGCCACGGAGUUAGUUCUUAACUUCAUUUGUAUUAACAUGUUUAAUCUUUGCAAGAAUCUAAAUGGGAAAAAUUUUUAUCAUCCCUAUUGGUAAGUGAAUUAACUAAGGCAAGGAAAGAUUAAGGAAUCUCCUGAAAGUUACACAGCCAGUAAGUAAUAGAGUUGAGAUUUGAACCAGACCAUUUAGCUCCAGAGUUCAUUCUUGACCCCUACAGGGUCUUUUCUAGCAAAACAAAGUGGGAUGGAGGCAAGUAGGAUGGUUUCUCGGGGUAAAGGGGGUGCUAGGUAAAAGAAAUAACAAAUAGGGGCCAGUGCUGUGGCAAAGUAGGCUAAGUCUCCACCUGCAGAGCCAGCAUCCCAUAUGGACUCCACUUUGUCUCCUGGCUGCUCCUCUUCCAGUUCAGCUCCCUGCUAACAGCCUGGGAAAGCAGAUGAAAAUGGUCAAAGUGCUUGGGUCCUUGCACCUGCAUGGAGAACAUGGAACAAGCUCCUAGCCCCUGGCUUUGGAUCAGCCCAACUCCAGCCAUUGUAGCUAUUUGGGGAGUGAACCAGUGGAUUUCUCUCUCUCUCGCUCUCUCUCUCCCUCCCUUCCUCCCUCCCUCUCUGUCUGUAACACUACCUCUCAAAUAAAUAAAUAAUCUUUAAAAAGUGAGAGAAAUAACAGAUAUCCAUAGCAGUGUCAGACCAAUAAGCAUUCAAAAGUCUUUUAUCUCGUAGAACCUCAGUUUUUUUCAUCUAAUAUGAAAUAGAUAAGAUCUGAAAAGUGCCCUCUGGGGUGGUGUAGUGAUUUUGGCUAACAUUGCUUGAGCACAUACUCUAGGCUAAUACUCAGUAUUUUAUGUGUGUUGUCUCACUGAGGCAACAUCCGGGUCCUGAUGAGAAGCCAGGCCUGUCUGCAGCUCCCAGGGACAUAACAAUUUUACAGCGCUGCCUCCCAUCAGAAAGGAAGAGGGGAGAUAUCAAAUGGACUUGUUGGCCGUAUCUUUUAAGUAAACAUUUUAAAAAAUUAAAUUUAAUUUUAAAAAACUAAACUCCCAUUAGGAGCAGGAUUUACCCUAUCAGUUAAGAGGCCAACAUCCCACAUCAAAGUGCAUGAGUUGGAGACCCAACUCUAGGUCCUGACUCCAGUUUCCUGCAAGUGCAGACUUUAUGAGACAGUAGUGAUGAUUCAGGUACUUGGGUUCCUACAUUCCUGGCUCCCAGCUUCCAGCCCUAGCCACUGUGGACAUUUGGGGAGUAAACCAGCAGAAAAGAGCGCUCUCUCUCCUCUCUCUCUCUCUCUCUCUCUCUCUGAGUCUAAACAAACAAACAGACAAAACCAAAAACCUUUUAAUCAAUUUUGCUGUCAAAAAGGCAGAGCUAAAAUGGCAAAGGCUCAAGGAAGGGCAGUGGAAAUAAUUUGCAGGAUAUCUGACAGAAGAGCAUGCCCUGUAAAGAAAAAUUCCCAACCUUGGGAUCAUUUCAUUUGGGAAGGAAAGCUCCUAGAGGCACAAUGUUUACCAUAUAAUAAACUGAUGACAGGUAUAGGAAAGGCUAAUCAGAACCUGGUAUUUACUUUCCCCCCAAAAUACAAGAACCAGGCUGUUGAAUGCAUUGUAUAAUAGCCGUGUCACCUUCCACUUUGGAACACUAUCAAAGUGAGCUUUACCCUCCCUUCCUACUGACUAUGCUGCCAAACCACACCUCCAGUCCCAAUCAGUACACUACAUUCUACACGUACUAUUCAGAAUCUGGAGGUUUCUAGCUGGAGGGUGUGUUGGGGCCUUUCAGUCCAGCCCUUUGUGUUACAGAUGACACUUGAAACCUAGUGAGAUGAAAUGAUUUGUCCACAUGUAUGUGGUGAGCUCAUAGCAUGUCUAGACUCCCCUGAUCUGAGGAUCGGAUGAACUGGAUUAGGGUCCUGGCUAACUAAAUGACCUUUCUGAGACUCAGUAGCCCCAUUUUUAAUACGGUUGGAAAGUUAAACAAUGUUUACAAACACACUUAGUGAACGUUAAGUAUUGCACUUCAGAGUUUUUUCCUUUAAGUCAUUUUGCUCCUUAGAAUAGUUUGCUGUACACUAGUCAUCAGGGAAAUACAAAUCAAAACCACAAUGAGAUAUCACCUCACCCCUGUCAGAAUGACUAUUAUUCAAAAGACAGAGAGAACAAAUUGCUGGCAAGGAUGUGGAGAAAGGGAGACUCUUAUACUCUGCUCGUUGGAAUGCAAAUUAGUGCAGCCACUGCAGAAAACAGAAUGGAGAUUGAUUUAAAUUUUUUUCUCUAAUUUUAUUUAGGGUAUAUAAAGUUCAUGUAUUUUGGAGAUUUCUUUUUCAUUUUUUUUUUGAAAGAUUUAUUUAUUUAUUUGAAAGGCAGAGUUACAAAGAGGCAGAGGCAGAGAGAAAGAGAAGUCUUCCAUCCUACUGUUUCACUCCCCAAAUGGCUGCAAUGGCCGGAGCUGGGCCAAUUAGAAGCCAGGAGCCAGGAGCUUCCUCAGGGUCUCCCACACGGCUGCAGGGGCCCAAGGACUUGGGCCAUCUUCUACUGCUUUCCCAGGCCAGAGCAGAGAAUUGGAUCAGAAGAGGAGCAGCUGGGACUCGAACCAGCACUGUUUAUUGGAAUGCAUACACAAAUAAAUAUUUUCAAAUAUUCCAACAAGCAGAGUGUAAGAGUCUCCCUUUCUCCACAUCCUUGCCAGCAAUUUGUUCUCUCUGUCUUUUGAAUAAUAGUCAUUCUGACAGGGGUGAGGUGAUAUCUCAUUGUGGUUUUGAUUUGUAUUUCCCUGAUGGCUAGUGUACAGCAAACUAUUGUAAGUCACUGUUUGCAGUGCCAGCAUCCCAUGUGGGCACUGAGUUUGAGUCCUGGCUGCUCUACUUCCGAUCCAGCUCUCUGGAGCUCGGGCCAUUGGGGCCAUCUGGGGAGUGAACCAGUGGAUGGAAGACCUCUCUCUCUCUCUCUCCCUCCCCCUCUGCCUCUCUCUAACGCUGCCUUUCAGAUAAAUAAAUCUGUGUGGGAGAUUGGUUAUGGGGGAAAAAUGCUA